rnacentral:rRNA from 1 species
AUUGAACGCUGGCGGCAGGCCUAACACAUGCAAGUCGAACGAGUGGCGGACGGGUGAGUAAUGUCUGGGAAACUGCCUGAUGGAGGGGGAUAACUACUGGAAACGGUAGCUAAUACCGCAUACCAUCAGAUGUGCCCAGAUGGGAUUGGCUAGUUGGUGGGGUAACGGCUCACCAAGGCGACGAUCCCUAGCGGGUCUGAGAGGAGGACCAGCCACACUGGAACUGAGAAACGGCCAGGACUCCUACGGGAGGCAGCAGUGGGGAAUAUUGCACAAUGGGCGCAAGCCUGAGACAGCCAUGCCGCGUGUAUGAAGAGGGCCUUCGGGUUGUAAAGUACUUUCAGCGGGGAGGCGUUACCCGAAGAAGAAGCACCGGCUAACUCCGUGCCAGCCGCCGCGGUAAUUC